rnacentral:rRNA from 1 species
GAUGAACGCUAGCGGCAGGCUUAACACAUGCAAGUCGAGGGGUAGAGUUAGCUUGCUAACUUGAGACCGGCGCACGGGUGCGUAACGCGUAUGCAAUCUACCUUGUACAGAGGGAUAGCCCAGAGAAAUUUGGAUUAAUACCUCAUAGUAUUAUUGAAUGGCAUCAUUUAAUAAUUAAAGUUCCAACGGUAUAAGAUGAGCAUGCGUCCCAUUAGUUAGUUGGUAAGGUAACGGCUUACCAAGACAAUGAUGGGUAGGGGUCCUGAGAGGGAGAUCCCCCACACUGGUACUGAGCCACGGACCAGACUCCUACGGGAGGCAGCAGUGAGGAAUAUUGGUCAAUGGACGCAAGUCUGAACCAGCCAUGCCGCGUGCAGGAUGACGGUCCUAUGGAUUGUAAACUGCUUUUAUACAGGAAGAAACACUCGGACGUGUCCGAGCUUGACGGUACUGUAGGAAUAAGGAUCGGCUAACUCCGUGCCAGCAGCCGCCGUAA